CGGUUCUCUUCAAGUUGGUAGAGUGGUUCUUUUCAUUCUAAUUCUAUUCAUUUGAUUGUAAUCUAUUAAACCAUUUUUAGUGGAACUGUUAAUCACUAUUUAUAGUGAUUAACGACUGGACGUAGAUUCUGUUGAAUCGAACCAGUAUAAAAAUACUUGUGUGAAUUUUUCUUAUCCCUACACUUAUUUUACUUAUCGCACAUCAACUGUUUGGUUAAUUUUCUGAAAGAAAAUUACUUUGAUAAAAA
rnacentral:lncRNA from 1 species